rnacentral:sRNA from 1 species
GAGCCAGGGCAGGAUGGAGAGGAGACGCAUCACCUCCGCUGCUCGCCGUUCCUACAUCUCCUCGGGGGAGAUGAUGGUGGGGGGCCUGGCUCCUGGCCGCCGUCUGGGUCCUGGCACCCGCCUCUCCCUGGCUCGAAUGCCCCCUCCACUCCCGACCCGGGUGGACUUCUCCCUGGCCGGGGCACUCAAUGCUGGCUUCAAGGAGACCCGGGCCAGUGAGCGGGCAGAGAUGAUGGAGCUCAAUGACCGCUUUGCCAGCUACAUCGAGAAGGUUCGCUUCCUGGAACAGCAAAACAAGGCGCUGGCUGCUGAGCUGAACCAGCUGCGGGCCAAGGAGCCCACCAAGCUGGCUGACGUCUACCAGGCUGAGCUGCGAGAGUUGCGGCUGCGGCUCGAUCAACUCACCGCCAACAGCGCCCGGCUGGAGGUCGAGAGGGACAAUCUGGCACAGGACCUGGGCACCGUGAGGCAGAAGUGAGGAGGGGAUGGGGAAGGGGGGCCUUGUGAGCAGAAGGGGCUGAAUCCCCAAGAGGGAGUGCCCGAGAAGUCUCAGGCAGGGGCCGAGGCUCCCUGCUCCCUGGGUCUCCCUACCUCUCGAUGGGGCACUAUCCUUGCCCCCCAACAUGAUGGGAGGGACCAGAAACAGGUCCAGGGCCCCGGGGAUCUGAUGCCCACAUGCCUUCUGCCAGGAGUCCAGGGUCCCCUCAGCACCUCCCUACUGGGGAAAGCAGUGCAGGAGCAGCUGGGCCCCUGCGUUCCAUUCGUGGCUGGGCUUUGUGACUGUGGGCAGCGAGCUCACCUAUUCUGAGCCUGUGUCCAUAUAAAGGAGGAGUUGGAAGCGGAGAAGGUUGGUGUCCAUGAGGGAGAUUGGAUUCUGGGGUGAAGGAAGCGAGGGAAAGAGUAGGCAAGCCUGGGCGCAAAGCACAGGUGACUGCCUGCCACCAGCUUGUGACCCCUGUCAAGUCACUUUGACUUGCACAGCUGUGAAGCGGUGCUCAUAAUAAAAUUCAUUUCAAAAGGUGGUUACCUGGGAUCAGAGGAAUCCCCAGGGGCAUGGCGCUUCGCUGAGCUGACAGGACAUGCAUGUGUGCCUUCAAGUGCAGGAGGACGUGUGUGUGUGUGUGUGUGCAGCAGUGAGUGUACGCUGGUGGAUGCGCCUGUGUGAGCAGAAGCAGGUGCACCAACCCUGAUAAGGCACCUUAGUAACGAGUUAAGGCAAAAGCCCACAUCUGCUCAUCCUCCAGACAAGUCCUCUGUCUAAGGCCCCCCAGCCCUUACUCCUCCUGCUGCUCUACUGGUCCUGGGUGGGGUUGGUCUCUGUGACAGCUGCCUCCAGGGAGAUUGAGGCAGGUAUCCAAGUGUCCUCAGAAGAGCCUGGACCCAGGAAUGUGUCCCCCCACUCCAGGCUCCAGGAUGAAACCAACCUGAGGCUGGAGGCCGAGAACAACCUGGCUGCCUACAGACAGGUCAGGGAGCUGGAAGGGAGUGGCAGGGGAGGGAGGAAAGGGUUGACGGCCACCCACCCAAACACAGCCCCCAAGCUCAGCCCUCCAGAGCAAUGUGCUGCUCCCCACUGCCCCAGAAGGAGGGGUAAGGCAAGGCUGAGGAAUGGGGAGAAGGAGCCUGGGGCCCCAGUGGCCCUCUACUCCUCAACCCUCCUGCCACUCCAGGAAGCAGAUGAAGCCACCCUGGCCCGCCUGGAUCUGGAGAGGAAGACUGAGUCGCUGGAAGAGGAGAUCCGGUUCUUGAGGAAGAUCCACGAGGAGGAGGUUCGGGAACUCCAGGAGCAGCUGGCCCGACAGCAGGUCCAUGUGGAGCUUGACAUGGCCAAGCCAGACCUCACCGCAGCCCUGAAAGAGAUCCGCACGCAGUAUGAGGCAAUGGCGUCCAGCAACAUGCAUGAGGCGGAGGAGUGGUACCGCUCCAAGUUUGCAGACCUGACAGACGCUGCUGCCCGCAACGCGGAGCUGCUCCGCCAGGCCAAGCACGAGGCCAACGACUACCGGCGCCAGUUGCAGUCCUUGACCUGCGACCUGGAGUCUCUGCGCGGCACGAACGAGUCCCUGGAGAGGCAGAUGCGCGAGCAGGAGGAGCGCCACGCGCGGGAGGCGGCCAGUUAUCAGGAGGCGCUGGCGCGGCUGGAGGAAGAGGGUCAGAGCCUCAAGGACGAGAUGGCCCGCCACUUACAGGAGUACCAGGACCUGCUCAACGUCAAGCUGGCCCUGGACAUCGAGAUCGCCACCUACAGGAAGCUGCUGGAGGGCGAGGAGAACCGGAUCACCAUUCCCGUGCAGACCUUCUCCAACCUGCAGAUUCGAGGUCAGUAUAGCAGGGCCUCGUGGGAAGGGCACUGGAGUCCUGCCCCCUCCUCCAGGGCCUGUAGGUUGCUCCGGACUGGGACUGAGGAUCAGGGCAAAGGGAUCCAGCUCUCCCUCUCCCUGGGGGCCUUCGUGACACCGCAGCGCUCCUAGCCAGAGCCUAUCAUACCAGGGUACUUCUAGGCGGGGCUUGCAGCUGCUCCUGUCCUGCUAGGCCCUGGGUCCCUCUUCCCCUCCCUGCACCCCAUUCCACAGCAGAACUGAGUGAGAUCUUGACAUCUGCCCUGUCUGCAGAUCCCUGAGCAAGCACUGCCCUUCUGAGUGUUUUCUGUUUUUGUUUUUUUAACUGCUUGUCACUACAGGGGGCAAAAGCACCAAAGACGGGGAAAAUCACAAGGUCACAAGACAUCUCAAAAGCCUCACAAUACGAGUUAUACCAAUACAGGCUCACCAGAUUGUAAAUGGAGCGCCGCCGGCUUGCGGUUAGCUGCCUGCCUCUCAGACACGGCGCUUUGCCCAGCUUGACAGGGAGUGAGCCUCACCCACCCCAUCCUCCCAAUCCUCCUGAGCUCCCUCCUCCCAGGCUUCCCCUAAAGGGCCUGGACUGCGUCAUUUUCCCAGGAACUGCAGUGCCCAGCCCAGGACGUGGUACAGAGUAACUGUACAUUAAACUGGCAGAGCUCGUUAGUGGUAAAGGUGGUGAGUCCUUGGAUGUGCAGCAGAGCUGCUCUGGGGCCUCUGAGCAAGCAGCAGCCUCUGUCUCACCUCUUCCCGUCACUGGGAGGGCCCCUUGGGUCUCGCUGUGCCUGGGGGCCAGGCUCUCUGCUUUAUUCUUUCAUCCCUGAGGCUCCAUCGCUCAGCUCAGUGCUGACUCAGUCCAGAGGAUUCUUCCCUCAGGACUGCUGCUCUUGCAGUGAAUAAAGUUUUAUGUUCCCUGC